CGUCCUCCUUCUGGAGCCUCACCAGCUCCUAGGGUUCCACCUGGUUCUAUGUAUCAAAAUGUCCCCCCUUACUACUGAGGGUCUGUUGAUUUAGUUUGUUUUUUUCUGGUUGAGGACAAAGGCCUCGCUGUUGAUUUAAAAGUGUAAAAUGUUGCAUGCUCCCAGCGCCCUGAUUUGCUCCAUCAAUUUGUGUAUGUGGCUCACCUUUUUCAUUCUGCUCCACACAAACUCAUGAUCUUUGUUCUGUUUUAGCUAGUCAGCUCCCCCUUAUUGGGUGUAUUCUAGUAAUUUUGCUUGUCCAUUAUGAAUAUUUUACUAUUUGUGAUGUUAUACUUUUAAUCUUACUGUGUAUGUUGUGCAUUCAUUGAUUGAUGCUAUAUUUAGAAUCACCCUAUAUGUUAAAACCUGCCUAUGAGAUUAAUACUUCGGUGUGAAGAAAACAGAAGAAGGUUUUACUUGGCUAAGAUUUAAUGUUAUCUGCAGUCUAAUUGUAUCCAGUAAUCAAAUUUUGACUUGGUACAUAUAACUUAAUAAUGCAUUAUGCACAUAUAAUUUGUGUGAUAUAGGAUAAUAAAUGAUUAUUAUUAUUAUUAAAGUACAUGCAUAUGUUUAAUAUACUGGUGUAUGGUUAUAAGAGUUGCAUAUCUUACAGAACCUCAUCAUUUGAGGUAGUUAGACAAUGGUCUCAACACUCUCAUCCUUCUGGCUCACAUUUUUCUUUUGGGUUUGUAAACACAUCACUAUAUAUUGCCAAGAAUGUUGUGUCUUCAUUCGAAUGUAAUUUAAGUUCAGAUAAUCAAGUGCCCAUAAAUUUUGAAAUGUUGUAGUUACAUUUGAAUUGAAAAGUCCUACAUAGAAGUCUAGAUCGAGUAUUUUGAGAUGAUUCCCAUUGUUGAAGGGUAGAGUUUGUGGUCUCUUUUGGGAGAAAAGUAGUAAUUCCUUUCGCAAUUGGAUAUUCCCUUCAAAACUAGGUGUUGGUCGAUGUGAUAGACAUACUUCAAUACUGUACUUAUUCUUAUUUGGCAUAAAUAGUAUUUUUUGUAUUUUACAUCAUAAAAAAAA
rnacentral:lncRNA from 1 species